UAACUGAAGAGCAAGAUACUGCUGUAUGAACAACAGUUUUCUUCCAUAUCAUGCAAGUGUUCAAAAGUCUAUUACCUAGAUUGGUAAGACUGAACACAUCGCUUCUGUCUUUUAUUCAUAGAGGAAAUCCACCAAACUUGGGAGGGUCGAAGGAAGUUGUCCUUCUCAGUUUACCUAAGCUACAGGAAGUUUAUUUGCGGAAAUACAGGACUCCCUUUAGCAGAACAUCAUUUGUGGUCUUCUCUCUCUUUCUAAUAUAUGCAAUGGCUGGAGAGAUAGUCUAUGCUGACAUCAAAACUGUUAGAGCUUCCCCUUUGGAACAUUCAUCUCCACUGCAGAGAUCUGAUUCUCACUAUCAUGGAAUUUUCUUGAAAGUUGGAUGUGCAAUGAUUAUCAUUCUCCUUGUGAUAACAAUUGUGCUGAGCAUUUUCGUUAUCCAGCUCAAAUCUGCAAGACAUACUAAAGUGGAUAAUGAAUCAAAAGAGAAAUACUGUACUGGGAAAAAUAAAUCUGGAACAAUCACGUCAAUAGGGUCGUCUGCAGGUGCAGAAUGUGGUCAAAAUAUUCCUAUUAUUAAAAUUCAGGAUCAUACUAGUUUCUUCUAACUCUCCUACUGCUCAUAAAUCAUGCCUCUCCAAAGACUGGAAGCUACAUGGGGGGAAAUGUUACUGGGUUGCUGAAAAUAAGAAAUCUUGGGCUGGAAGUAAAAAUGACUGUGCUAUGAAAAAUUCACAUCUUAUGGUGAUUCAAGACUUCACUGAUAUGAGUUUCCUAUGGCUGCACCUAAAUAUUUCAGCCAUUUAUUGGAUUGGCUUGAGUAGUUCCCCUGGAGGGAAAUCAUGGACCUGGGUGGACAACAACUCUUUUGACGUCCGUCUGUUUUCAAUAAAAGAACAGCAACCACGGACCCGGAGCAUGAAAUGUGCCCAGGUGUCUAGUAAUAUGAUAGCCGGACAAAAUUGUGAGGCCAAUAAUCAAUGGAUUUGUCAACUGUAAUCCAUUCUGCAGAAAAUCAGUCUCCACUUUCCUGUGAAAGACACUACAUGAAGUUUGAGCCCAGAUCAUAGGAAAGUCCAGAGGGUUGUGUGUGUUCCAGAGGGCUGUGUGUGCCUGUGUGUGUGUUCAUUUAUGAUUGGUGUGAAUAUAGCACUAUUUCUCAGAGAUGUGAGAAAGGUACUAGAGAAAAGAAAAUGUUAUAUAAAUGAGUAGAUAUGAUGAAUAUAUUUUUUCAUCUGAAUUAUCAAUGCAGUUAUUCAAUCAGGAGUCUCAUUUUCCCGGUAUUUUUGGAACCUCAGUCUUUAUCUUCUCUGCAUCUUUCCUCUACAAUAUUCUUAGCUAAUCUUUUACGUUCUCAGUUUCCAUUACCAUGUACAAAGCAAUGCAUAUCAAAUUUAUAUCUCUAGCCCAGAUCACCAGACCCAUAUACCAUACUGCCUUUUUAACACAUCAAAUCUAAAAUCUCAAAGGUACUUCAAACUCAACAUAUAAAAACAGUUCAUUAACUUUCCUCACAAAAGAAACCAUCUUCCAAUACUCCAUAUCUCAAUAAAUAGCGUGCCAUACAAGAAAAUUAUGCAAUCUAUAAGCCAGCUGCCAUCUUGUCUUUACCCUCUCUAACACCCCUCAAGGCUGCUCUCCACUCUCCUUCUCACAUCACCAGGUCUUGUUAUCUUUAACUAAAUCUCUUUCAAAUUUAUCCUCUUCUCUCCAUCACCACUUUCAUGAUCUUAAUACAAAGUAAUAAAAUAUUAAAUAGUUGCAGUAACAAGGUCUUCCUGUUCACUCUUACUCCAUGUCAAUCCUUUUCUGCCCUAAAAACUGAUGAUAUUUUUAAAAUGUAUAGUGACAAUUUAUUUUGAGGAAGAUUAACCCUGAGCUAACAUCUGCCACUAAUCCUCCUCUUUUCACUGGGGAAGGUUGGUCCUUAGCUAACAUCCAGGCCCAUCUUCCCCUACUUCAUAUGUGGGACACCUGCCACAGCAUGGCUUAAUAAGCAAAGCGGUGUGUAGUUCCGUCCCUGGGAUCAGGACCAGUGAGUCCCGGGCUGCUGAAGCAGAGCCUGCGAACUUAACUGCUGUGGCACUGGGCCAGCCCCAAUACAACCCUCCUUUUUAAAAACACUCAGUACCUUCCUUAGAGUAACACAGAACUCCAUGACAUGGCCUGGAAAUCCCUGUCGGGUCUAACCUUUGAUUACUUAUGCAGCCUCUUCCUACACCAAACUUAGCCAAACUCUCAGCAUAACAAUCAUGUUAGACUAAUUUUAGGAACUCAUACUCUAUUUCACCACAUUGACUUAGCAGAAGUUGUUCACCAGACCUGGAAUUCUCUUUCCUCUCUUCUCCUCAAGUUAAAUGUUAUUCUCUAUAUCUCAGGUCAAUUUCUUUUUUUUGUGACAAAGAUUGGCUGUGAGCUAACACCUGUUGCCAAUCUUCCUCUUUUUUGCUUGAGGAAGAUUGGCCCUGAGCUAACAUCUGUGCUCAUCUUGUCCUGGAUCUGAACCUGGGAACCCAGACCACGGAAGCGAAACGCACCAAACUUAACCACUACGCCUCUGGGCCAGACCGCAGCUCAAUUUGUAACACUUCCUUGAGCCCCGUGACAAGGUCAAAUAUCUCAACAUUAUAUUAUCCUCUCCAGUACUUAUCACAUUUUGGCCUUAUAUAUACCAGCCUUUGAGUAAAUAUUUGAUUAAUGUCUUCCCCCCUUACUUGACUGUAAAUCUCUUAGGGUCCAAUAUCUGUUUUUAUAUUUCUAGUACCUUUUAAAGUGCCUACCACAUAAUAAAUACUCAAAAAAUUAUUUAUUGUA